CAGCCGCCGCGGUAAUACCGGCGGCCCGAGUGGCGGUCACUAUUAUUGGGCUUAAAGCGUCCGUAGCCGGGUUGGGAAGUCCUCCGGGAAAUCUGGCCGCUUAACGGUCAGAAUGCCGGAGGAUACUCCCAGCCUAGGGAGCGGGAGAGGCCGAGGGUAUUCCCGGAGGAGGGGUGAAAUCCUAUAAUCCCGGGAGGACCACCUGUGGCGAAGGCGCUCGGCUGGGACGCGUCCGACGGUGAGGGACGAAGGCCAGGGGAGCAAACCGGAUUAGAUACCCGGGUAGUCCUGGCUGUAAACGAUGCGGACUUUGUGUCGGACAAGCUAUGAGCUUGUCCGGUGCCGGAGGGAAACCGUUAAGUCCGCCGCCUGGGGAGUACGGCCGCAAGGCUGAAACUUAAAGGAAUUGGCGGG
rnacentral:rRNA from 1 species